AUGUCAGCGCCGGUCCAAGCUCUCAGCAAGGGGAGCUCCGCGGGGAAACUGAGUCAGGACUUCACGGUCGGGGAGCCAGACGCAGGUGGCCGGAGAUCCGAGCGCGGGGAGCCGGAUCUGCUCCGACCGAGCCCAGGCCAGUCGGCCACGUGUGUCCGAACGGCUUGUCACUCAGCACGCAGGGGGCGGGGCCUGGAGGAUUGUCCAAUCAGGGGCGGCAGGGGCGGGGCCGAGGCGUGGAAGCCCCCCGUGGUUAACCGCCCGCCCGCACUCCGGGGGCGGUGCCCGGAAGACGAGCCAAUCAGACGCAGAGGCUCGGAGCGCCGUCCAAUCAGGGCGCAGAGGCCCGGAGCGCCGUCCAAUCAGGGCGGGGGAAGGGCGCGCUCCAGCCGCGUGUCCAUCGCUCCGCUGCCGCCCCGGCGCCCGUGCGCACCUGCCUCGCGCGGCCGCCGGUGUCCGGUCCUCCUCGGUCUCGGCGGCCCGGGUGGCAGGGACAGCCCGAGCGGGACGCGAGAUGGGUCAGGACUUCCUGACGAGUCAUCCAUGAAACAGGUUGGGGCAGGCCGAGAUCGACGUUCCCCACAAAGGCCAUUGCGACUCUGAAGUACUUGUAUUUUAUUUUAUUUUAUUUUAUUUAUUUAUUUUUUAAUGAUAAAUUUAUUUUUUAUUGGUGUUCAAUUUGCCAACAUACAGAAUAACACCC
rnacentral:lncRNA from 1 species